CUUUACAGGAAGUGUUUAUGGAAGGCUGUGCAAGUCACAUGCAGGGAGGUGUGACUAGGGUUGAUAAACAAAGGGAUUUAACUCCUAAAUGGCAGAGGAUUGAGCAGAGAGGCUGCAGGGGCAUGUUCUAGACACCAAAACUGCUUCAUUAAGUUAAGUUGUUCAGGUGACUAUAAUGUCCCUUUAAAUAUCCUUUAUAUGUCUUUAAGGCAUAAAUUAUCUGCAAAUUAAUAUUACAUACAAAAAUGCAUGUUAUGGGUGUUCCCAUGAUUAAU